rnacentral:rRNA from 1 species
CGAAUGGCGUAAUGAUGGCCAGGCUGUCUCCACCCGAGACUCAGUGAAAUUGAACUCGCUGUGAAGAUGCAGUGUACCCGCGGCAAGACGGAAAGACCCCGUGAACCUUUACUAUAGCUUGACACUGAACAUUGAGCCUUGAUGUGUAGGAUAGGUGGGAGGCUUUGAAGUGUGGACGCCAGUCUGCAUGGAGCCGACCUUGAAAUACCACCCUUUAAUGUUUGAUGUUCUAACGUGGACCCGUAAUCCGGGUUGCGGACAGUGUCUGGUGGGUAGUUUGACUGGGGCGGUCUCCUCCUAAAGAGUAACGGAGGAGCACGAAGGUUGGCUAAUCCUGGUCGGACAUCAGGAGGUUAGUGCAAUGGCAUAAGC